rnacentral:rRNA from 1 species
UUCGGCUAGGGGGCCAUCCCGGCUUACCAACCCGAUGCAAACUGCGAAUACCGGAGAAUGUUAUCACGGGAGACACACGGCGGGUGCUAACGUCCGUCGUGAAGAGGGAAACAACCCAGACCGCCAGCUAAGGUCCCAAAGUCAUGGUUAAGUGGGAAACGAUGUGGGAAGGCCCAGACAGCCAGGAUGUUGGCUUAGAAGCAGCCAUCAUUUAAAGAAAGCGUAAUAGCUCACUGGUCGAGUCGGCCUGCGCGGAAGAUGUAACGGGGCUAAACCAUGCACCGAAGCUGCGGCAGCGACACUGUGUGUUGUUGGGUAGGGGAGCGUUCUGUAAGCCUGUGAAGGUGGCCUGUGAGGGUUGCUGGAGGUAUCAGAAGUGCGAAUGCUGACAUAAGUAACGAUAAAGCGGGUGAAAAGCCCGCUCGCCGGAAGACCAAGGGUUCCUGUCCAACGUUAAUCGGGGCAGGGUGAGUCGACCCCUAAGGCGAGGCCGAAAGGCGUAGUCGAUGGGAAACGGGUUAAUAUUCCCGUACUUGGUGUUACUGCGAAGGGGGGACGGAGAAGGCUAUGUUGGCCGGGCGACGGUUGUCCCGGUUUAAGCGUGUAGGUGUGUGUUCCAGGUAAAUCCGGUUCACUUUAACACUGAGGCGUGAUGACGAGGCACUACGGUGCUGAAGCAACAAAUGCCCUGCUUCCAGGAAAAGCCUCUAAGCAUCAGGUAACAUCAAAUCGUACCCCAAACCGACACAGGUGGUCAGGUAGAGAAUACCAAGGCGCUUGAGAGAACUCGGGUGAAGGAACUAGGCAAAAUGGUGCCGUAACUUCGGGAGAAGGCACGCUGACAUGUAGGUGAAGUGAUUUACUCAUGGAGCUGAAGUCAGUCGAAGAUACCAGCUGGCUGCAACUGUUUAUUAAAAACACAGCACUGUGCAAACACGAAAGUGGACGUAUACGGUGUGACGCCUGCCCGGUGCCGGAAGGUUAAUUGAUGGGGUCAGCGCAAGCGAAGCUCCUGAUCGAAGCCCCGGUAAACGGCGGCCGUAACUAUAACGGUCCUAAGGUAGCGAAAUUCCUUGUCGGGUAAGUUCCGACCUGCACGAAUGGCGUAAUGAUGGCCAGGCUGUCUCCACCCGAGACUCAGUGA